rnacentral:rRNA from 1 species
UACGAAGGGGGGCUAGCGUUGCUCGGAAUCACUGGGCGUAAAGGGUGCGUAGGCGGGUCUUUUAAGUCAGGGGUGAAAUCCUGGAGCUCAACUCCAGAACUGCCUUUGAUACUGAGGAUCUUGAGUCCGGGAGAGGUGAGUGGAACUGCGAGUGUAGAGGUGAAAUUCGUAGAUAUUCGCAAGAACACCAGUGGCGAAGGCGGUUCUCUGGGACGGUACUGACGCUGAGGAGCGAAAGCAUGGGGAGCGAACAGG